UUUUUUUUUUUUUUCUUCUCCCCAUGACUGAAAUUAAAGCAGAGCUCCUGUGUUUAACACAUUAACAAUGACUAGGGGAGUUAUGACAAACACCUUUGCUCUGAGACUUACCCUUCCUUAAAUUUUAUUUUAUCAAAAUUAAUGUGCAUCUGACAAAGAACUAUGGGAUGCACACACUUGUGGAGGUUGCUGGAAAUAAAUCCCUUUCCUUGCUUUAACUUGUUUGCAGGGUUUCUGCAUGAGGAGAGCUACAAGGAGUUUGUUGUUUACAAAGUUCCACAUACAGCUAACCUCUGGCACCAGGUCCAGGAGGCUGCUCUGCUGCCUUCUCUCUUUGCUCAGCUGGCCUCCUGCCUAAUCUUCCUGCUGUAACAGGGAUGUUUGCAGUUACUUUCCCUCUCAGUAGCAGUUUGUGUUGAAUUGUGUGGUCAGAAAGACACAGACAAGAUUGUUUGUAGGCUUCUUAAAUUAGACCAGCUGCAAAAAGGAGAUGGUCUCUGAAGUACACAAGCUCCAGGCUAAUAAUCUUGUAGUUUAAAGAAUGCUUACUAAGCUUCAAAGGGUGUUUUCUCUCUGACAUCUCUUCAUAUAGUCCUGUAUUUAUUAUUACAAAAUAUUAUACAUUUACAUAUACAUAAAAAUAUUAUUACAUUUUAAGUCUAGGAGGGCUGAACUGAUUAUUGACCCUAUCUCCUGUUCAAGGGUCCACUGUAUUUCACCCAGUUGUCACACAGGGCAGUGACUGGAAUUUGGCCAAAGCAGAUGGUCCAGAGAGGUGUUCAGUUUUGAUAAUGACCAUGGCUGUUACCAUUUGUAAGUGCUCUUGGUUAAGUACUCAAGUGAAGGAACGUGCCUCUGUUAAAGUGGCUGAAUCAAACCCAUUGCUGUAAGCAUGUAAAAGCUUUGAAAAGAGUAGUUGCAAGGGAUUUCUGAAGGCUUCUCAUGCAACUUCUGCUUCAAAUCUUUAUCAUGUUGCUCAGGAUCUUUUUCAGUUGGACUUGGCCUGUCUCAGCGUACUCAUUCUGAAUCUUCCUGGGCUGCCAAGUACAAAAUCUUGUGGGAAAAUCUUAAAUCAGAUCCAUGACAAAAUCCAAGAGUAUCACAUUGAUGCAGUUGUUAUUGCCAAUCUAACCUGUCAAAUAAUGAAAAUCUGCUGAUGGCAUUCAUUGUUUUUAUUCAGUGAAUCAUUGUCAUAAACUGUUUCAUCUAAGAGCCUCGAAAUUGACCAAGGCAUUGACGUGAACUUUUCCGUGAAAUUUGCCAUCAGCGGAUCCAGUCGAGCCUACCUCAUGGCUGAGGUCUCCUUUGCUGCCUCAGUUGUGAACCUUUGCACCUCUGGCUCAUGCCUGGAAAUGAAAAUGUGUAAAUACCUUACACUUAACGCUGCUUCCAGCGGAGCCAGACCCAGGCAUUUCUGAAACACCAGUGCAGUACAGCUUGUGUGACGCUCCUGGGAGCAGCACAGAGCAGCUGCUGGAUGGCCAGGGCUUUGGGGCAGAUGGAGGAAGAUGUGGGAGCAAAGAGUGAACCCAUGUAGCUGCACUUCUCUAGGUCUCAUGGAAGUACAAUAACAGCUUGAAGUAAAAUCACUGUGUUUAUGGAUUCAUCAGAACAGCUUUUGCACAAAACUUGCUGGGUUACUCUCCAUCCCCUCUUUUUCUGUUGGAAGAUGGGUAAGAUGGCCUGAGCAAAGUUUUAAAUCUGUUUCAGUUCUUGGCCUCUGAGACAGAUUUUGUAUUUUCAUGUAAAACUGCCUUUUAUGACAGAUCUCAGAAAGAGCCACUAGCUUUUCAAGCCAGCAAGACAAAGAGAUAAAAUAAUUUAAAGAGUUUUCAAGUUUCACUGUUGCUAAUGAUCAGCUUGCCACAGAAGCCCUAAAUGAUGGGUUGGUGCUACAACUAAGGUGGCAUAACAGCUAUUGCUGCUAAGUCAGCUCCCCUCCCUUUCCUGUCCUUGGUCUCCUGCUAGUUUCUCUGAAACUAGAGUGAGGCAGCUCACAGAGCUCAAACAAAAAUAAUUAAAAAUAUGGGUGUGGGUGGUUUUUUUUUUGUUUUGUUUUGUUGGGGUUGUUUUUGAGUUUUUUUGGUGUCUUUAUUCUCAAUUGUGAACUGCCACAUCUUUAGUUUCACAAUAAUUUUAGAUUGACGUGAGCUGUGUAAAGUGGUCAACUCUGGCUCUUCCCUGCUUGUGUUCCUGUUGGAUCUCACAUCCCUUGUGCUGGGGGGCAGAUCUUGGCUCUGAUCUGGAGGAAAAUCAUCUCCCCAUUCCACUCCCUAAUUUUUCUCCAGGUUAGUUUAGAGAUGCUUUCAUGAUAUGGCUGAUUACAUAGCUGUACAAAUAUUAGGAGGAGGGGACAGGACCUCCUGUAGCUGGUAAAUUCCACUUGUUUUGGCUGAGACAUAACAUGGAAGGGCUACUUCAGAUAUGCCCUUGUAAAACUGGAUCUGUUUUGCCAGCACUGAAUCAUUUAUUCUCUACUUCCAUUGAAGGUAAAUUAGUGCAGAAUACAGCUCUAUGGAAAGAAAAUACAUAGGAUGAAAAGAGACUGAAGCAUAAAUGGUAAAACAUAGUGGGGUCCUCUCAGAAGUCUUUUUUCUUCCAAAGUAAUGGAGAUUGGCUUCAAUAAGGAAAAUAUAAUCUCUAAAACAUUCCUGCAUUUUAUGUCAGUUACUUACUUCCAGGGGAAGAUGAAUUUUGGGAUGGCACAUCAAGGGGCAAAUAAACUAUCAUGAGUUGAAUAUCCCAUUAAGAAAAUGCAUGCUUCUGGCUUUGUUUUCUUUCUUCUUCCCACAGCACCCAGCCAGACUGCUCAGAUCAGCACCCUACCGAGGGCAGCCUCAUUCUCAUAAACACACAAAGCCCCAAAAAGAAACUGAGCAAAUUUUUCCUAUGCAGAUGGUCCCCUCUGCCUUCACUGCCCAAAUGUAAAUGGGUGCAGAAAUUUCCAGAUGAAAGUUUAUGACAUAAAUGAAUCCCUGGUGAUUGAUUUUUGUUUUCCUCUCUGAAGUCCACACAAUGGGAGGCGGCUGCUUAUCACUGACUGCAGCUCUCUGGGCCCUCAGAAUUGCAGAGAAGACCUGAAGAGCCAUGGGAGGAGGGGAGUUCUCCCAGCAAAUCUUCACAGCAUCUCUCUGUUAUCCAUGCUUUCUCCUCACUCCCCCACCUCCCAGCCCAACAGAAAGCCCCAAGGUUUAUUUGAACUCUUGUAAUUAGAUCUGUCUGGGAGAGCAACCAAAGUGUCAAGGUUUCAAAGAGAAAUUCAGAAAAGUCAAGAGCAAGUAGAGACUUGAAAAGGGAAGUCGAAAAAGAAAGCUGGUCUUUAUCAUGGUAAUAGUAAUGAAGCCAAGCUGAAAAAGGCCAGACGAGGGGCUGGGUUACUGUACUGUGAAGUGCCAGGGCAGCAUCCCGAGAGAGGGGAUUAGAGAACCACUCCAGCCCUCGGGACCGCUGUCAUUUCUGGUCCUCCCUCGGAGCAGCGAUGGAGCGGGGAGCGCCCCGGCAGCAAACCCUGACCGACUGCGGGAGGCAGCGCUCGGAUGGGCAGGAGGAGGUUUCUCCCGCUGGAGAUGGGCGGGGAGCCGAUCCAGAGAAUGAAGGGAUGGUGGAAAAUGAUUUCCCGGAGGAGGAACCCUCGUUUCUGUGAAGCCGCCGCGCAAAGUCCCCGGCGCUGUGCGAGCGCAUCCCCCCCGGGUACCCCCUCCUUCGGCGCUGCAAUCAGGCUUCUAAUCAAUUAGGCAAAUUGACUGCAGGAGUGAGCUAUUUCCUACUCCUGGCAACAAAACCGGCUUAUGUUAACUCCGUGUUUCCCAGGAACCCUGCUCUUCCCCACCUUAUUUUUUUUCAUUUUUUUAUUUUUUUAUUUUUUUACGAAAAAAGCAGAGGAGUUUCUCGUAACUGUGCACUGUUACUGCAGACACCAAAAUAAUUUUGCUAAGCGUGGGAGGAUUUCGAUGAUCCUUUGAAAAUUUGUAAAUUCGGAUUCCAAGGGACAAGUAUUCCGGUUAAGCAGGGAUUGGGAACAUUUGCUCUUUAAAUGCCGUUCAGCCAAAGAGAGGAGUGCACAUGAGCAGAUUCACAUGUGGCCAGAGAACUAGUUCUGUAUGUAUUUAACUCUCGAGGCAUCGAGCAUGAGGUGCCUCUUGGCAAAUACAGCUGGGAAAGUCCUGAGGACAGACAGGAGUUCCAGAUGAAAGCUAAGCCGCACUUUCCCUUGCUGUUGUCCUUCGUAUCAGGAGUUAUUUCUACCGGGCUCCACAUAAGCAAAUCACCCAAGUCCCAAAGAUGUAGGCACAGCGUAUUGGCCAAAGGAUGUCACAUCCGUUCUUAAGCAAUAUUUUACAUAUACCAGACUGCUGGUUUCGCAGAUUGUUUCCAAAGAUGUCACCGGGCUGCACUGGUUCUGAUGGUUUUGUUCUGUCUGAUUUAAUUUGCUGUUUCAGGAGUUCAGUUUGCUGUAACUUUUAACAAGUUGGGACAGAAAAAAACAUCCCCCAGAGCGCUGAAUCAGCUGCUUUCCAAAAUGUGCAGCAGAGCAUCCCACCAAGCACAUGGCCCUGCUCCUGUUUCUGUACAGUCCCAGCCAUUGCUUGGGUCUCACUCUAGUGGGACACAGAGCUCUGGAAGUGUUUUAGAAUGAGCCACCCACACCAGUAUUCUAGAAAUUGAAAGUGGACCCUGCACUAAGAAUGAUUCCUGAAAUCUUCUGAAGCUCAGCUCCGGAGCCUUGGCUCACAGCUGGUCCUGAAAACACUCAGGAAUUCUAGAGAUCAAAUAACUCUCAUUAGAAAUAAAAUAACUUCUUUGUUGUUGUUGUUUUGUUUUGUUGGUUUUUUUUGCUAGAUUUGUUUCCUUGAAGAGGCAAGCAAAUAAUUCAAGCUACUGAAUUCACACAGAAAAGGAAA